rnacentral:rRNA from 1 species
GACGAAGGGGGCUAGCGUUGUUCGGAAUUACUGGGCGUAAAGGGCGCGUAGGCGGUCUGGUAAGUUGGGAGUGAAAGCCCGGGGCUUAACCUCGGAAUUGCUUUCAAAACUGCCGGACUAGAGUGUAGUAGGGGAUGAUGGAAUUCCUAGUGUAGAGGUGAAAUUCUUAGAUAUUAGGAGGAACACCGGUGGCGAAGGCGGUCAUCUGGGCUACAACUGACGCUGAGGCGCGAAAGCGUGGGGAGCAAACAGG